UACGAAGGGGGCUAGCGUUGCUCGGAAUCACUGGGCGUAAAGGGUGCGUAGGCGGGUCUUUAAGUCAGGGGUGAAAUCCUGGAGCUCAACUCCAGAACUGCCUUUGAUACUGAGGAUCUUGAGUACGGGAGAGGUGAGUGGAACUGCGAGUGUAGAGGUGAAAUGCGUUGAGAUCGGAAGGAACGCCCGUGGCGAAAGCGGGCGCCUGGACCCCACCUGACGCUGAGACGCGAAAGCCAGGGGAGCGAACGGG
rnacentral:rRNA from 1 species